AUCGAGAGGUUGACGGGAUCCGU
rnacentral:siRNA from 1 species